UACGAAGGGGGCUAGCGUUGCUCGGAAUCACUGGGCGUAAAGCGCACGUAGGCAGAUUGCUAAGUCAGGGGUGAAAUCCUGGAGCUCAACUCCAGAACUGCCUUUGAUACUGGCGAUCUUGAGUCCGGGAGAGGUGAGUGGAACUGCGAGUGUAGAGGUGAAAUUCGUAGAUAUUCGCAAGAACACCAGUGGCGAAGGCGGCUCACUGGCCCGGUACUGACGCUGAGGUGCGAAAGCGUGGGGAGCAAACAGG
rnacentral:rRNA from 1 species